rnacentral:rRNA from 1 species
UACGAAGGGUGCAAGCGUUACUCGGAAUUACUGGGCGUAAAGCGUGCGUAGGUGGUUCGUUAAGUCUGAUGUGAAAGCCCUGGGCUCAACCUGGGAAUGGCAUUGGAAACUGGCGAUCUAGAGUGCGGUAGAGGGUAGUGGAAUUCCCGGUGUAGCAGUGAAAUGCGUAGAUAUCUGGAGGAACACCGGUGGCGAAGGCGGCGUUCUGGACUGCAACUGACACUGAGAGACGAAAGCCAGGGGAGCAAACGGG